UGAGGAAUAUUGGACAAUGGGCGCAAGCCUGAUCCAGCCAUGCCGCGUGCAGGAAGAAGCAUCUAUGGUGUGUAAACUGCUUUUGAACGGGAAGAAACACUCCUACGCGUAGGAGCUUGACGGUACCGUAAGAAUAAGGAUCGGCUAACUCCGUGCCAGCAGCCGCGGUAAUACGGAGGAUUCAAGCGCUAUCCGGAAUCAUUGGGUUUAAAGGGUCCGUAGGCGGUUUAAUAAGUCAGUGGUGAAAGCCCAUCGCUCAACGAUGGAACGGCCAUUGAUACUGCUAGACUUGAAUUAUUAGGAAGUAACUAGAAUAUGUAGUGUAGCGGUGAAAUGCUUAGAUAUUACAUGGAAUACCAAUUGCGAAGGCAGGUUACUACUAAUGGAUUGACGCUGAUGGACGAAAGCGUGGGGAGCGAACA
rnacentral:rRNA from 1 species